CACCACUUGGAUGGGAGGGUGGGGAAGGUGAGGGGCAGGCCCAUGCUGCCCCAAGUCUCCCAGGGACUGGUGGGACCAGUUGCCUGCGUCCUCUUGGGUGGGUGCUGCUUAACCUGAGUGAAGUUUUGUGAGUCACAGCAGCUCCUGGCAUCAGCUCCCACUGCUCAGAAACCACCGAGAGCGUCUCACUUCUUAUCUCUCCCAGCACUUCAGAGUGGGGCAAGUCUCCUUCCCUGCAUGAGAGUAAUUUGGGUUGAGUAGAUGUUCGUGGGAUAAAAGUGCAAGGUGCUGGUCUCCACCUCUCCAGGGUUAAUUAAAAAUCCCGGUCCAGACUUCAGAGGCUGAAGGCCUACAGGGGCAAGCAACAAAGCACAUGCAGAUUUCCAGGCUGAGUAUGCGUUGCUGGGGCCGUGGCUGCAAAGAGAAGCAACUGUGUGGGCAGCUGAUGAGGAGUCUGUCCAGCUGCCAUCACGUCUUGCUGGUGCACAAAGGAAUGACAGCAGCUGGAGACAUCUCCAGGGUUUUGUCUAGAAAAGUGAGACGAGGAGGCUUUAUCACAUGCUCAGCUGAAUUGCCGUAAAUGGGAUAACAGCUGGAAAGUCGAGUUAAUUUGUACCAAUGGUCAUUUAAAGUGUUUGCCAAAGCUUAUGGAUAAGAAAAGCAUCUGUGCAAACUG